rnacentral:rRNA from 1 species
GAUGAACGCUAGCUACAGGCUUAACACAUGCAAGUCGAGGGGCAGCGGUAUCGAAAGCUUGCUUUCGGUAGCCGGCGACCGGCGCACGGGUGAGUAACGCGUAUCGAACCUGCCUCAUACUCGGGAAUAGCCUUGCGAAAGUAAGAUUAAUGCCCGGUGUUUUCAGAGUCCCGCAUGAGGCUUUGAACAAAGAUUUAUCGGUAUGAGAUGGCGAUGCGUCCCAUUAGCUUGUUGGCGGGGUAACGGCCCACCAAGGCAUCGAUGGGUAGGGGUUCUGAGAGGAAGGUACCCCACAUUGGAACUGAGACACGGUCCAAACUCCUACGGGAGGCAGCAGUGAGGAAUAUUGGUCAAUGGGCGGAAACCUGAACCAGCCAAGUAGCGUGCAGGAAGACGGCCCUCCGGGUUGUAAACUGCUUUUAGUUGGGAAUAAAACGGGGCUCGUGAGCCCCCUUGCAUGUACCAUCAGAAAAAGGACCGGCUAAUUCCGUGCCAGCCGCCGCGGUAA